rnacentral:rRNA from 1 species
ACGAACGCUGGCGGCGUGCCUAAUACAUGCCAGUCGCGCGAAGUUUUUCUGGUGCUUGCACUAGAAAAACUUAGCGGCGAACGGGUGAGUAACACGUAAAGAACCUGCCUCAUAGACUGGGACAACUAUUGGAAACGAUAGCUAAUACCGGAUAACAGCAUUAACUGCAUGGUUGAUGUUUAAAAGUUGGUUUUGCUAACACUAUGAGAUGGCUUUGCGGUGCAUUAGCUAGUUGGUGGGGUAAAGGCCUACCAAGGCGACGAUGCAUAGCCGACCUGAGAGGGUGAUCGGCCACACUGGGACUGAGACACGGCCCAGACUCCUACGGGAGGCAGCAGUAGGGAAUCUUCCGCAAUGGGCGAAAGCCUGACGGAGCAACGCCGCGUGAGUGAAGAAGGAUUUCGGUUCGUAAAGCUCUGUUGUUAGGGAAGAAUGAUUGUGUAGUAACGAUACACAGUAGAGACGGUACCUAACCAGAAAGCCACGGCUAACUACGUG